rnacentral:lncRNA from 1 species
GAUCGGAUGCCAUCAAUUGAUCAGCGAGGAGUUGCUUUUGGACACAGGCGGUAAUUUGCAAAUCCCUGGAACUAUCUAAUGCCGGUGACAUUGUGGUGAGGGUUUUUUUUUUUUAAAAAACAUCACCAUGCGUGUCAAGACUUGAAACUAUCUAAUAUCAUUUUAUUAUGUCAGUUGUAUCAGCUGCUACGGGAAAGCGGGCCUG